CUGCCCCUCAAACCUGGCCCGGCAACUGUGGCGGUGCCAUGAAGAUUGACAUAUAGCAAGCCAAUUAAGUUGAAGUAGAGCGGGGAAUUGACAACCUCUGAUAGACGGAAUAGGGAGAUUGCACAAGGAGAUUUGGACAACAAGGACUCAUGAAGGACAGCACAUGUCAAGGCUGGGGAGAAGAAGAGGAGCCAAGAAGGAGCAGCCAGGGAGUAUACAUUUGUGAUCCAGAAAUACAUUCAGCAUGAGGAACUGCUACCGAAGUAAGACAGCAAAUCAACAAUCUAAGUUUCUUCAUCAAGAAAUUAGAAAACAAAGACCAAAAUCAAACCAAAACAAGCCUGAGGAAGGAACUAAUGAAGGUAAGAGGAGAAAUCAAUGUGAUUGAAAACUAGAAAACGAGAGAAUCAAUGAAACAAAAACCUCUUGAAGAUUGACUGUUAGGAAGAAUUUAGCAUGCAAUUUGUUUAUCAAGGAGUGUCUUUGGGUCAACAUGGAUAGAAGGGAUGGGAAGUCUUUUUUUAUUUUUGUUUUUUUUCUGUUAACACUGAUCAAUCCUCCAAUACUGACACCAGCCACCUGGAGUUCACAUAGAUUCUACAAGUGCAAGGACUGUAUGUCACUAAAAGGAAAUACUUCAGAUGCCAGCCUCAAGAGGGUGCUCAGGUAGCCAUACUUCUGCCCUGAACACCCAAUGUAUUCCCACAACCUGCUCACAGGCUGGAUAUUUCCAGAUGACUUACAGUGCUCAGAAGAACAUUUUCCUUACUUACAUUUAUGAGUUUAUUUUAAAGAGUAGACCCCCAAAUAGAAGACCCAAUCAGGAAAUGGAAAAGUGGGACACUUCAAAGAAGCAGUACAAAUGGCCCAUAAAUCCAUGAAGAAAUGCUCAACAUCCCUGGUGAUAUUAGAGAAAUGCAGAUUAAAACAACACUGAGAUUCCAUCUUACUCCAGAGAGAAGGACUAUCUUCAAGAAAUCAAGGAAUGGCAAAUGCUGGUGAGGCUGUGAGCGAAAAUGAACCCCUCUACGUUGUUGGUGGGAAUGUGAACUGGUAUAACCACUCUGGAAGUCAGUAUGGAGAUUCCUCAAAAAGCAAACUAGAAAUUCUAUCUGACCCAGCUAUUCCCCUUCUAGUUAUCUUC
rnacentral:lncRNA from 1 species